AUGUUCGUGACAAACUCGUCCCAGCCAAGCCACGAGCCCCGCACCGCGGGGUCGAAGCUCGCCGAGAACACCCCGUACGGCACGCCCAGGAGGAGGCCGAACAGCAGGAACGCGACCCAGACGGGCGGCUGCAGGUCGUCGAGCCCGGUGGCCGCGGCCGCCGCGCGCAGGGCCGCCUCGCCGGCCGCGGUGGCCGCGAGCGCGGCCGCGGGGACCCGCCGCGCCGUGCGCCACAGCACCUCCUCGGACUCGAGGAACGAGAGGUCGCCGCCGCGCUCCCGCCGCCCGACCCACUCGUCCCACUCCUCGUCGCUGACCGACGCGUCGGCCACCAGCAGCGAGCCGAGGACGAAGGAGACGAGCGGCAUCCACGCGGGGACGCGGUCGACGCCCGCGGCGUCGCCGAGGUAGCCCAGCAGCGCGGGCACCCCCGCGAAGGAGAAGGCCGCGACGGCCGGGAGCUUCCAGAGCACGCCGAGGUCGGGGCUGCGGCCCGGGAGGUCGGCGUCGAGGAGGGACCGGAGGAGUCGGCGAGCCCCGCGUCGACGAGGUUCUGGAGGAAGGUCCGGAGGUCGUUGUUGCUGUUGCGGUAGGCGUCCAGGAGCUUCCCCGCCAGCGUCCCGAGAUCGUCCUCGGGGGGCUUGCUGGCCUCGUCUUCGGUGGCGUCCGUGCCGCGGCUGCCGCCGGGGCUCGAGCGAAGGCGGAGGUGGCGGUGGGGGAGACGACGGGGGAGCUGGAGAGACGAGCGGGGGCGAGGGGGCGGCCGGGAGUAGAGGGGGGAGGAGGUCCGGGUGGGGGUGA
rnacentral:rRNA from 1 species